AGAGAGAGAGAGAGAGAGAUUAAUUCAUAAAUCAGACGCCUUGAUUUCAGUUUGCUUCCAUGAAAAAAUUUUUCUCAGUUUUUUAUCUUGAAAAAAUGGUUCAAAAGAAAUAAAGCUUGAAAAAAAAUCUGCCCUAAUAACUAUAUGACACGAGUGAACAUAAUGCCUGACCAGAAAUCAAUAAAGAAUCAAAUAGAGGGAAAAAAAAAAAGGA
rnacentral:misc_RNA from 1 species